AGAGUUUGAUCCUGGCUCAGAUUGAACGCUGGCGGCAGGCUUAAUACAUGCAAGUCGAACGGUAACGGCAGGAAGCUUGCUUCCUGGCUGACGAGUGGCGGACGGGUGAGUAAUACCUGGGGAGCUGCCUGAAUGAGGGGGACAACACCUGGAAACGGGUGCUAAUACCGCGUAAGCCCUGAGGGGGAAAGGCCGGGCAACCGGUCGCAUUCAGAUGCGCCCAGGUGGGAUUAGCUAGUUGGUGGGGUAACGGCCUACCAAGGCGACGAUCUCUAGCUGGUCUGAGAGGAUGAUCAGCCACACUGGAACUGAGACACGGUCCAGACUCCUACGGGAGGCAGCAGUAGGGAAUAUUGCACAAUGGGGGGAACCCUGAUGCAGCCAUGCCGCGUGUGUGAAGAAGGCCUUUGGGUUGUAAAGCACUUUCAGUAUGGAGGAAGUGAGCUGAGUUAAUAGCUUAGUUCAUUGACGUUACAUACAGAAGAAGCACCGGCUAACUCCGUGCCAGCAGCCGCGGUAAUACGGAGGGUGCGAGCGUUAAUCGGAAUAACUGGGCGUAAAGAGCUCGU
rnacentral:rRNA from 1 species